AAAAAUUUGAAUCCUCGCGCGCCUUUCUCUCUCCUGCAGACUGAGUAAAGGACUGACACAAGUAACAAUUAAUGCGUUGCCUUCUCUCUCUCCUCUUUCUACAGAUGAGGUCCUCCUUCACGACCUCUCUCUUCUGCAACAAAGGCCUCCACCUCCAUCCUCUCUUCCUCUCCCUUCCUCCUUCUUCUUCGCCUUUCCGGCUUCGGCUCCAAAAACCACCAACCGGCCUCUCGAACUCUGCUUUGCCUUCUACACUUAGUUUGAUCCCGAUUUCCGAUUCGGAUACAUCACCAAAGAUUUCGAAGUGGAACUAGGCUGCAAAGAGGAGGUUGGAUAUUUCGGUAGUGGCGCCGCGUUUCGGAGAUCCGGCGACGGCUGCGAGAGAUAUUGUGGCG
rnacentral:lncRNA from 1 species